ACGAACGCUGGCGGCGUGCCUCAUACAUGCAAGUAGCACGCUGAAGGAGGAGCUUGCUUCUCUGGAUGAGUUGCGAACGGGUGAGUAACGCGUAGGUAACCUGCCUGGUAGCGGGGGAUAACUAUUGGAAACGAUAGCUAAUACCGCAUAGGAGUAGAUGUUGCAUGACAUUUGCUUAAAAGGUGCAAUUGCAUCACUACCAGAUGGACCUGCGUUGUAUUAGCUAGUUGGUGGGGUAACGGCUCACCAAGGCGACGAUACAUAGCCGACCUGAGAGGGUGAUCGGCCACACUGGGACUGAGACACGGCCCAGACUCCUACGGGAGGCAGCAGUAGGGAAUCUUCGGCAAUGGACGGAAGUCUGACCGAGCAACGCCGCGUGAGUGAAGAAGGUUUUCGGAUCGUAAAGCUCUGUUGUAAGAGAAGAACGAGUGUGAGAGUGGAAAGUUCACACUGUGACGGUAUCUUACCAGAAAGGGACGGCUAACUACGUG
rnacentral:rRNA from 1 species